UUAUUCAACAACUUAGAGAUUUAUUGAGUCGGUUUUGGAGUCACUGUUGUACAUUUCAGAAUCAAAGAGACAAACAUGGUACAAAUGUACAUUAAAUUCACCUGUGAAAAUGUUAAAAUAGCACAAAUAAAUUAAUGUUUGUGUUACAUACUUUACAAAAAUAAAUAUAUAUAGAUGCAGAUAUAUAAAUGUGCAUAUGCUUAGUAAUCACAACUUAAGCCUGAAGACAGGCUGAGGAAUUAAAUGCAUUUAUAUUUUGUGAUGAGAACGAGAGCUGUGCUGCUCCUUCUUCUUAAUCCACACAUGUUGUAACAGCACUAAACAUGCAAAGUGCAUCAUGAUGAUUCUGGCACUGCAGCCGAUGCUGUCGUUGUUUGAGGGCUGACUGUCGUAUUUUUCAUCUGAUUCCUGUGAAAACAACAUAUCAGAGAGAUGAGGCUGGGUUGCAAAAAAAAUCACAACUUUUAAAGCUUUAACAACAAAAUCAACCAACUUUUUUGUCUUAUUUACUUUCUGAAUAACAAAAGGAUCUUGAUUUGAAAAAAACUGCUUCUGUAAAACCAUCAGUAUUUUUAAUCACUGAUGUGCAGAGCCUCACUCUGAUGCUCCCAAAGUGACUGUUGAUGUUCCUGUUUUAACUUCACUGACUUCCUCUCUAACAUUUAACUCACAUUAAGUUGAACACCAGUGAAUGAUAGAAAAAACAUCUGUGUGACUUACAGUUUUUCUAGCAGCAUUAUGGUGAAUUUAGACUGAGGAUCGAGACACCGUUCACUCCCAUCCUUCAGUGUGACUCUGUAACAUGUAAAGAAAGCUUUGAUUUAAAACCACUUUAUAAACAAUCCUUAUUAAUGACUGAGCUCUUAUUAAUAAUGUGCUCCUGUCACUGUGGGCACUUACAUGACUUCUCUCCUGUUGCAGUAUGGACGAGGCUCAUCCACCUUAACUUCAGUGAUGGGACCUCUUACAGACUUACUGGUGUUCAAACACCGGCACCUUGGAACAACUGGAAAACAUAGAAUGUGAUAAUUAAUGUUAAACUGCUGCAGUUUCAUAUUUUACUUAAACAUAAAUAUAUUUAGAUUGAUUCAUUGUCAUGAUUUAGCUCCUCUCAAGAUGCAAAAAUACACCAAAGUUUUCCAUAAUCUGAUAAAACACACUUACUUAAUGAAGUGCAAAGGGCCAUGCAGGCCAGGAGAACGAUGCACUGGAUGGCAACACUUGUCUUCAUCUUAAAGCUUUUCAAGUAUCUAGUGGAGGAUCUACUGAAGGCUCAGUCUUCAACUGGUUUGUUCUUCUCAGAUAUGAAGGAUCUCUGCUGCUGUGGGUCUCCUUCACUUCUCGAGCUGCCUGAG
ensembl:lncRNA